UAAAGGAAAGCAACAUUAAAAGAUUAAACGAGAACCAGCAAAGUAGGCUAGUGCCAGCAAAUUUGCAAUCGAAAUAAUUAAAGAAUUUGAUUUAAGCACCCGCUCAAAGACGCUAUACAGCGUUUCUCAAAUUAAUAUUAAAAAAAGAUGAACCAUUUAUCCCGUACUCUGAAAACCAAAUCAUCAAAUGAUUGAUAUUGUGAAAGCAUAUCUACCGCAUAGUAGAACAACACUUAUUUAAGUUAAGAAAGUGAGUGACUCUAACAAUAGUUGAAGCUUCGAAACUAAGAAAAGCAACGACAGCAUAUCAUAUCAAAAAAUCCUCCUUUUGCUUCCGAAUCAGAAUUAUCGUUAGGAUGAUUUACUCCGACUGCAUUAUUCGAGGGCUGAGAUACAUACAUAGGUCGAACCCUAUCGUAACCUCUAGAAGAAUGAGCAUAAAUUGUUUUUUUAGAAGCAGACUGUUCUUGACGCACCAAUGGAGCGUUUUUGCUCGGCAACGCAUCGAACGAUGAGUAAUUUCUAGGACCUCUCACCCCAUAUGAGGAUUUAAAUCGCAUGUUCUGUGUUUGCAAAGUACUGUUCUUUUUUCUGGAAUCAUCAUUUUGAACAACAUUUAAGCCAAGGUAAUUCUUUCGUCGCUUCAUAGCAACAACAGAAAAAUGAGAAGAGCUUGACUCCCAACCUUUACCGUCAUUCAAUAACAUCCAAUCAUAAACCCCAUCAUUCGUAUCACCAUUUGCUCGAAGUACAUCAUCAAAUAACUCUUGUAAAAACGCAUAAUCCGGUUCUUCAUCAAAUUCUAACGAACGCACAUAAGUCAUGUAUUUACUGAAUUCAUUAGGAAAUCCAGCACAAAGCUCACUAAUG